rnacentral:rRNA from 1 species
AUUGAACACUGGCGGCAGGCUUAACACAUGCAAGUCGAGCGGGGAAGGGUAGCUUGCUACCUAACCUAGCGGCGGACGGGUGAGUAAUGCUUAGGAAUCUGCCAUUUAGUGGGGGACAACAUUCCGAAAGGAAUGCUAAUACCGCAUACGUACUACGGGAGAAAGCAGGGGAUCUUCGGACCUUGCGCUAAAUGAUGAGCCUAAGUCGGAUUAGCUAGUUGGUGGGGUAAAGGCCUACCAAGGCGACGAUCUGUAGCGGGUCUGAGAGGAUGAUCCGCCACACUGGGACUGAGACACGGCCCAGACUCCUACGGGAGGCAGCAGUGGGGAAUAUUGGACAAUGGGCGGAAGCCUGAUCCAGCCAUGCCGCGUGUGUGAAGAAGGCCUUAUGGUUGUAAAGCACUUUAAGCGAGGAGGAGGCUACUUAGAUUAAUACUCUAGGAUAGUGGACGUUACUCGCAGAAUAAGCACCGGCUAACUCUGUGCCAGCCGCCGCGGUAA